GACAUGAGCGGUUUUGGUCUUUGAUACUGUAAACCAAAUUUAAUGGGGUGAAGACUCAUUUUUCAUUGUCUUAUUCAACACUGUCUUCUCCUUAAACCACUGUUUCUUUCCAACCUUCUCAAGCAGAUCAGAAAUUGUUGAUUUGUGAAGACAAAUUUGGAUGCAACUUCUAUCCCAUUUUUGAUUAAGAAUUUUGACACAGGAAUGUCGGGCCUAAGUGGCACCCCACCACCUCAGUGGCAACCCGGAAUAUCGUUGCGGCAACGAUGGCUGGUAACCAGAACUACCCUGAUGGUGGCACUGGCCAUGAAAAUAGUAGAGUAAAUGUUGUUUACAGCUCUGAAUCUUGUUUAAACGGUAUUUGCAUCUUGAGGAGAGGUUGAGGCAGUAAGUUAGAGAAGAGCUUACGACAAAAUCUUGAGCAAAAAUUGGUAUUUUUGCUUAUAUCUCUAAUAUGUAUAUCACGGGGGCAAUAUGGGGUAGUUUAGUAUCGGCAUUUCAGCUACCUUUUGUUGUAUUUAUUGUAUCUACAUGAUAAGAUAUCUGUGGAGUUUUUAAUCAAAUGGGAAAAACCUUGGUUCUGCUGUGUAUGUUGGGUCUGAUUUUGGGCAUACACGGACUACAGCUCCUUUUACUGAUCAAUUUUGAUGCAUUUAAAUUUCAUAAAAUGUGAUAUUA